AUUGAACGCUGGCGGCAGGCCUAACACAUGCAAGUCGAGCGGAUGAAGGGAGCUUGCUCCUGGAUUCAGCGGCGGACGGGUGAGUAAUGCCUAGGAAUCUGCCUGGUAGUGGGGGAUAACGUCCGGAAACGGGCGCUAAUACCGCGUACGUCCUGAGGGAGAAAGUGGGGGAUCUUCGGACCUCACGCUAUCAGAUGAGCCUAGGUCGGAUUAGCUAGUUGGUGGGGUAAAGGCCUACCAAGGCGACGAUCCGUAACUGGUCUGAGAGGAUGAUCAGUCACACUGGAACUGAGACACGGUCCAGACUCCUACGGGAGGCAGCAGUGGGGAAUAUUGGACAAUGGGCGAAAGCCUGAUCCAGCCAUGCCGCGUGUGUGAAGAAGGUCUUCGGAUUGUAAAGCACUUUAAGUUGGGAAGAAGGGCAGUAAGUUAAUACCUUGCUGUUUUGACGUUACCAACAGAAUAAGCACCGGCUAACUUCGUG
rnacentral:rRNA from 1 species